rnacentral:rRNA from 1 species
UACGAAGGGGGCUAGCGUUGUUCGGAAUCACUGGGCGUAAAGCGCACGCAGGCGGAUUGAUAAGUCGGGGGUGAAAUCCCGGGGCUCAACCUCGGAAUUGCCUUCGAUACUGUCUGUCUUGAGUCCGGGAGAGGUGAGUGGAAUUCCUAGUGUAGAGGUGAAAUUCGUAGAUAUUAGGAAGAACACCAGUGGCGAAGGCGGCUCACUGGCCCGGUACUGACGCUCAGGUGCGAAAGCGUGGGGAGCAAACAGG